GGGUCCAUCAGAGCGAAGCAGGGGCUCGGCAGGGCAGAGCCUGGCAGCUGAGAGGCCACUGCCUUUGCCGAAAAGACCACUAGGUUGGACCUUUCCAGACUUACCUGAAAUUUUGUCCUGGUUCUCACUCACUUGCUGUGUGGACUUAUGGAGUCACUUCCUGUCUCUGGCUUCAGGGUAAUCAGUAGGUAGACUCUAGGCUGUAAUUUAAAACCAUCCGAGUGCUUUGCAUCCGGAUGUGGGAGCGUUCUGGCCUUUAUUCUGCCUUCCCUUUGCAGGACCUGUGGCAUCCUGAGUGUUCAUGUCCCGACACCAAGAGAAUCAGCACCUCUGGGUUACCUCAGCAUUAAUGACUUUGAGAGCAUCAGGAUGACUGACAUGGUCACCAUCAAAAGUGGCCUCAGUGGACAGGACCAUAAGAACAGAAUAAAAUUUACAGAGAGGAGGAAGAACAAGAUAUUUGAAGUUGCCUAACUGUAGACGCCUGGUGGGCACCGCAGACGAGACACUGUCUUCUGGAGGCUUCUGUCGGGCGUGGAGCGACUUUCUCUUCAUGGAUCAGCUGAUGAUAAUGUUUUGCUCGCGAGUCACAUAUCUUUAAAUAAUUUGGCACAAAUGCUAUAUUAAUCCUUUCCACGAAGCUAUGGUUUCGUGAGGGGGAAGUAUCAUGCUGUAGUGUAAUCUUGAAAUCUGCAGAUCAGAGCUUAGAACGAGGAGUUGAAGACCUGCCACAACACACUUGAAGCCGUGUCGGCCCUCCUCCAGGACAGUCCCUCGGGGCCGGUAUUAACCUUUACCUGGCAGGAUGCUGUGUUUUAAGAGAUUUGUUGGAGGGGGGCCCACGAAAGCUGUGAGAAGAAAUUGGUGGCAGUGGGGGCUCCUGAUGUUCCUCGUUCUCCAUGUUAUGUUUCUUCAAGGUCACCAUUAUUAUAUGUUGGUGAUUGAGCUCCCAUCACCAGUUCAAAUGGAGGCUGUCCCUGGGAGCAGGAGUCAGAGCUUUCCCUGGAUUAGUGAAACUGGUCAAGUCCCAUGAGCUCUCUGUCCCUCAGAAGCCUGCUCUGGGCCCUGGGGCUUUGGACACUUGCCUGGCUUCCCAGUCCAUCCCGUGGGGGCUGGAUGCUCAGUCUUGGUGAAGGGGGAACCGGCAGCUCUUGCUUUUUGCCACUUUCCAGAUGUAAAUAUGUGCUCCCCCCACUGCACCCCAAUGCUUUUCAUUUCUGGUGUUAGAAAGUAUUUAGAAAUGGCCUUCCGUGUUCUUCUUUAUUGAAUGUCUGCGAUUGUCCAAACAAGCUGUUUCUCAGUGGGAAAAACUGUCAGAGGGAGCACAGUCCGAGAUAACUGUCCUGUGACAAUAAACCGUUUUCUCAUUUUCGAAAGCUAAAAAAAAAAAUUACAUUUCUUGAAUCCUAUGACACUAGUGACAUUUUAGGGCAUAGUAGCCAUAUGUGACUGGUGACUGGCAUAUUUCAAAGUACAGAUAUGGAAUAUUUUCACCAUCACAUAAAGUUCAGUUGGGCAGUGCUGCUCUCAACAACCAAGUCCUCAUUAUAUGAUCUGUGGAAACAGGCUCUGCUAAACCCUUUGCUUGACACAUUCUUCUUCCAGUGCUUGAGACUGAAAGUUACACAUAAUUACUUAUUCUUAGUAUCUCCUUAACAAGCAUAUAAGCCUCAAUGAAGACAGGAGCUAGGCAUUGUCACCUCUGAUUCCCUGUUAUCUCUAAAGUACUGUCAUAGAGAAGGAGAGAGUGGAUGUUAAACUAAAUUGAAAGGAUAUAAGAGGCUAAUUUUGGGUGAUUUGAUUAGAAUUUGUUGAUAUUUCAAUUAUUUCAGCCUAUGAAGAGCAAUCUUGUAUGUUUCAACCUAAGGAGAAAGAACUUUUGGAAAAAUUGGAACUUCUUUAGUUGGUUCUAGUGAGUUGCCUGUGAUUGGGAGGUUAAGCAAAAGCAGAAUCUAUUAGAACAAUGUAUAAAUAGUUCCUGGGUCUGUUGGACUGGUUAACCAGACAGAUUCUAAGAUUCUAAGUCUGUGUUCCUCAAGUUUUUCAUCCAGGAUUGCGUAUGCUAUGACAUCAGUCAUAGCUAGCUACUUUCUAUGUGCCAGACACUGCUUAAUAUAUUUAAUUCCCACAAAGAUCUUUUGAAGUAUGUUUGGUACCAUCAGAUUCACCAAGAGAGAUUCAGGUUAAGUUAUGCACUCAGCAAUAUACAGGCAGUAAAUGGCAGAGGUUGGAUUCAUUUUUAAGUCAGUCUGCACCAGAAUCUGAGUUCCUAAUAACCUAUAGGGAUGGGAUACAGUUCUAAUAUGAAGUUUCAGCCAGAUAUUUAUUUGUCCCUUAAUUCAACAUAGGUUCAUUUUAUAGUGGAAGUGUUCCUUGCACUUAGGGAAGCCCGUGUGUAUGUAUUUUUGAUUGAAAGUGUCAUAGAUUCCAUCAGAUUCACAAAGAAAUCACAACUCAAAAAAAUUUAAGCCACAUUACCACUUUCAGUUUUGCAAUUCUGAGAUUCUAGAUUUUAUUUUUGUCACAUUAUUGACACUUUUUCCAGGAAAUGCACAGUCAGGGCAAGUGAGUAUCCAAGCAAAUGGCGGAGAGAUAUUAAUUUUAUACCUGGAACUAUUUAGAAAGUAUCAGGAUUUCCUUACUUAGCAAUAUUUAAAAAAACUCUUAAUUUGCUUUUCUGCAAUUUACAUCGUUAGAUCAAUCACAAGAAGUUUUAUUAUCAAGAGGGUCUUCCAUUUAUUAAAAUAAUUUGCAACAAAUUAGUGUGAGUUUCACUAAUCCUUCUGUUUUGUUAUUGUGUUGGUGAUGGUGGUAGUGAAGAAUAACAAACUUACAGAAAACUGCACAAUUAUAAUGUACAUAAAUGUACAGCUCAAUUAGUUCUCACAAAGCAAAAAUCCAUGUAACCACCACCCUACCCCUAGUAUAGAUUGUCAGUUUUCUAAAAUCUCCUCCCAGCCAUUCUCUCCAAAGGUAACAACUAUUCUGACUUCUAAUAUGUAUCUAAUAUGUAUCUAACUUCCCCAUUUUUAAACUUUAACAUAAAUGGAAUAAAAUGUAAUGCUUUUUCACAACACUGUGAAAGUCCUCCUUGUUGUUGUAAAUAGCUAUAGUUCAUUUAUUUUUGUUGCUAAAUAGUACUUCACUUAUAAUCACACUGCAAUUUAUUCACUCCACUCUUGAAAGACAUUUGAGUGGUUUCCAGUUUUUUUUUACUAUUAAUUAUGCAUAACAGCACUAUGAAUAUUCUUGUGUUUGACUUUUAGUGAACAUCCAUACACAUUUUUGUUGGCAAUAUCCUGAAGAGUAAAAUGAAUGGAUCAUUGCUUUAGAUCAGUACUGUUCAUCAGAAAUACAGUGGAAGUCUCAUGUGGAAUUUAAAAUGUUCUAGUAACCAAAUUAAGAAAGGUUUUAAAAGUGAAAUGAAUGUUAAUAAUAUAGUUUAUUAACCCAUAAAUCUAAAAUAUUAUCAGUUCAACAUGCUAUCAAUAUGAAAAUAAUUGAUUAGAUAUUUACAUUUUUAAAAAAAUAUUAAAUCUUCAAAAUUUAAUGUAUAUUUUACAUUUAUAGCAAUAGUUAUAGUUCAAAUGCUCAAUAAGCAAAUGUUGAUUAUUAACUGCUAUAUAUGAACAGUACAGCUUUAGAUAAUACUAUCAGCUUGCCAAAAUGAUUGUGCUAAUUUACAUUCAUGAGUGCUGUGUAUAAGAGUUACAAUUGUUCUACAUCUUUGUCAACACUUGGUACUAUAAGUCAUUUUAAUUUUAGCCAUUCUGAUGGUUCUGUAAUAAUAUCUUAUUUUGGUUUAAUUUGCAUUUCCUUGAUGAUUAGGAGGUUAAGUAGAGUUUCACAUGUUUAUUGGCCAAUUGAUAUUUUCUUUCAUAGAGUCUGAAUCCUUUUUUGUUGAGUUGUUCUGUCUUAUUAAUCUCAUAUCAUUAGUUGAAAAAUGUGCUCUCUUUUUCCAUUCUCCACAAAGUGUUGCAUAAUAUUGGCAGUAUUAAUUCUUUAGAUGAUUGUUUGAGUUCUCCAAUGAAGCCAUUUUGAGCUGGAGGUUUCUAUAUGGAAAAUUUAAAGUUUAUUUCACCCAUUUAUUUCAUAAUUACAGCACUAUUCAAAUUUCUCCUUUUGUCAAUUUUAGUAGGUUGUAUUUUUCUAGGAAUUGACUCCAUAUAAAUUUUCAAAUAAAGUUGUUUGUAAUAUCCUUUGUCAGAGCUAGAUUUGGAGUAACAUCUCAUUUUAUUCUAGAUCAUGAGAAUGUAUGUCAUGUCUUAUUCCUUGAUU